rnacentral:miRNA from 1 species
UGUGUAUGUCUGUGUGUAUCAUAUAUAUAUGUGUGUAUGUAUACACACACACACACACACACACACACACACACACACACAUAUAUAU